UACGUAGGGGGCAAGCGUUAUCCGGAUUUACUGGGUGUAAAGGGAGCGUAGACGGGACGCCAAGUCUGAUGUGAAAUCCCACGGCUCAACCGUGGAACUGCAUUGGAAACUGGCGACCUGGAGUACCGGAGGGGUGAGCGGAAUUCCUGGUGUAGCGGUGAAAUGCGCAGAUAUCAGGAAGAACACCGGCGGCGAAGGCGGCUCACUGGACGGUAACUGACGUUGAGGCUCGAAAGCGUGGGUAG
rnacentral:rRNA from 1 species